GGGGAUACAACAUCCGAAGAUGGUUAGAGGGGUAAUCGCUAGCAUGUAACUCAGGUAAGGGAUAAAAUAAUGUGAAGUCAAAACCACAGUAAAAUCCAUAUGCACACAGUAUACAUACAUAUAUAUAUAAUAUGUUGGGACAGGGAGCAGGUUUUCAUAUGAAAGUAAAACAUUAACCCGGACUGUCUAGCUUUACCAUCAUAAGACACCCACGGGAUAUCUAGGUUUGGCUCCC
rnacentral:lncRNA from 1 species